UCUUUUAGUAACUGAAGUUCCAAGUCGACCUCAUUUGUUGCAUUAAGCGUUUGAUCUUGGCUCGUAUAUCGUGAUCGAGGCAUGAGUUCGAUCUAAGCCACUAGAUUCCGCUUGGUAGAGGAACUUGUAUCCUUUUCUGUCUAUCAUAGAUAUAAUAUGAUCUCGUCUCUUAUUGUACAAAUACGGGAAAGUUCUUACGUCAUAGAAAGAUCAU
rnacentral:lncRNA from 1 species